rnacentral:rRNA from 1 species
GACGAACGCUGGCGGCGUGCUUAACACAUGCAAGUCGAACGCUGAAGCUUGGUGCUUGCACUGGGUGGAUGAGUGGCGAACGGGUGAGUAAUACGUGAGUAACCUGCCCUUGACUCUGGGAUAAGCCUGGGAAACUGGGACUAAUACUAGAUACGACAUGUCACCGCAUGGUGGUGUGUGGAAAGGGUUUUACUGGUUUUGGAUGGGCUCACGGCCUAUCAGCUUGUUGGUGGGGUAAUGGCUCACCAAGGCGACGACGGGUAGCCGGCCUGAGAGGGUGACCGGCCACACUGGGACUGAGACACGGCCCAGACUCCUACGGGAGGCAGCAGUGGGGAAUAUUGCACAAUGGGCGGAAGCCUGAUGCAGCGACGCCGCGUGAGGGAUGACGGCCUUCGGGUUGUAAACCUCUUUCAGCACGGAAGAAGCGAAAGUGACGGUACGUGCAGAAGAAGCGCCGGCUAACUACGUG